rnacentral:misc_RNA from 1 species
GAUGAAGAACGUAGCGAAAUGCGAUACGUAAUGUGAAUUGCAGAAUUCAGUGAAUCAUCGAGUCUUUGAACGCACAUUGCGCCCCCUGGUAUUCCGGGGGGCAUGCCUGUCCGAGCGUCAUUGCUGCCCUCAAGCACGGCUUGUGUGUUGGGCCUCCGUCCUCCUCCCGGGGGACGGGCCCGAAAGGCAGCGGCGGCACCGCGUCCGGUCCUCGAGCGUAUGGGGCUUCGUCACCCGCUCUUGUAGGCCCGGCCGGCGCUUGCCGACACAUCAAUCUUUUUUCCAGGUUGACCUCGGAUCAGGUAGGGAUACCCGCUGAACUUAAGCAUAUCAAUAAGGCGGAGGA